rnacentral:rRNA from 1 species
ACGCGUGAGAAUCUAGCUUCAGGUUCGGGACAACAGUUGGAAACGACUGCUAAUACCGGAUGUGCCUACGGGUGAAAGGCUUGCUGCCUGAAGAAGAGCUUGCGUCCGAUUAGCUAGUUGGUGAGGUAAAGGCUUACCAAGGCAUCGAUCGGUAGCUGGUCUGAGAGGAUGACCAGCCACACUGGGACUGAGACAAGGCCCAGACUCCUACGGGAGGCAGCAGUGGGGAAUUUUCCGCAAUGGGCGAAAGCCUGACGGAGCAAUACCGCGUGAGGGAAGAAGGCUCUUGGGUUGUAAACCUCUUUUCUCAGGGAAUAAAAAAAUGAAGGUACCUGAGGAAUAAGCAUCGGCUAACUCCGUGCCAGCAGCCGCGGUAAUACGGAGGAUGCAAGCGUUAUCCGGAAUGAUUGGGCGUAAAGCGUCCGCAGGUGGUACAACAAGUCUAGUGUCAAAGACCGGGGCUUAACUCCGGGAUGGCGGUGGAAACUGUUGAACUAGAGGGUCGUAGGGGUAGAGGGAAUUCCCAGUGUAGCGGUGAAAUGCGUAGAGAUUGGGAAGAACAUCGGUGGCGAAGGCGCUCUACUGGACGGCAACUGACACUCAGGGACGAAAGCUAGGGGAGCGAAUGGGAUUAGAUACCC